rnacentral:rRNA from 1 species
UGAGCAAUCUGCCCUUCACAUCGGAAUAACCAUUGGAAACGAUGGCUAAUGCCGAAUAUGACUUCGGAUCGCAUGAUCUGAAGUGGAAAGCUCCGGCGGUGAAGGAUGAGCUCGCGGCCUAUCAGCUUGUUGGUGAGGUAAUAGCUCACCAAGGCGAUGACGGGUAGCCGGCCUGAGAGGGUGACCGGCCACACUGGGACUGAGACCAGCCCACG